UACGUAGGGGGCAAGUGUUAUCCGGAUUUACUGGGUGUAAAGGGAGCGUAGACGGCGAUGCAAGCCAGAUGUGAAAGCCCGGGGCUCAACCCCGGGACUGCAUUUGGAACUGUAUAGCUAGAGUGUCGGAGAGGCAGGCGGAAUUCCUAGUGUAGCGGUGAAAUGCAUAGAUAUCACGCAGAACUCCGAUUGCGAAGGCAGCAUACCGGCGCCCUACUGACGCUGAGGCACGAAAGCGUGGGUAUCGAACAGG
rnacentral:rRNA from 1 species